rnacentral:rRNA from 1 species
AUUGAACGCUGGCGGCAUGCUUUACACAUGCAAGUCGAACGGCAGCGCGGGCUUCGGCCUGGCGGCGAGUGGCGAACGGGUGAGUAAUACAUCGGAACGUGCCCAGUAGUGGGGGAUAGCUCGGCGAAAGCCGGAUUAAUACCGCAUACGACCUGAGGGUGAAAGCGGGGGAUCUUCGGACCUCGCGCUAUUGGAGCGGCCGAUGGCAGAUAGCUAGUUGGUGGGGUAAAGGCCUACCAAGGCGACGAUCUGUAGCUGGUCUGAGAGGACGACCAGCCACACUGGGACUGAGACACGGCCCAGACUCCUACGGGAGGCAGCAGUGGGGAAUUUUGGACAAUGGGCGAAAGCCUGAUCCAGCAAUGCCGCGUGUGUGAUGAAGGCCUUCGGGUUGUAAAGCACUUUUGGCGGGAACGAAAAGGACUGUGCCAAUACCACGGUUCGAUGACGGUACCCGCGGAAUAAGCACCGGCUAACUACGUG